AUCCUCUCAGGGUCGCACCUGGAGAGUUUCCAGUACUCUGCCAGUCAUGACCACAGGAGGGUGAGUCAAGCAGAGGCAUACCCAUUCCAUUUCUAGCUUGGCCAGUGGCUAUUGAGUGGAAGGCACUCUGCUACAAGU